GACGGACGCUGGCGGCGUGCUUAACACAUGCAAGUCGAACGGAAAGGCCCUGCUUUUGUGGGGUGCUCGAGUGGCGAACGGGUGAGUAACACGUGAGUAACCUGCCCUUGACUUUGGGAUAACUUCAGGAAACUGGGGCUAAUACCGGAUAGGAGCUCCUGCUGCAUGGUGGGGGUUGGAAAGUUUCGGCGGUUGGGGAUGGACUCGCGGCUUAUCAGCUUGUUGGUGGGGUAGUGGCUUACCAAGGCUUUGACGGGUAGCCGGCCUGAGAGGGAGACCGGCCACAUUGGGACUGAGAUACGGCCCAGACUCCUACGGGAGGCAGCAGUGGGGAAUAUUGCACAAUGGGCGGAAGCCUGAUGCAGCAACGCCGCGUGCGGGAUGACGGCCUUCGGGUUGUAAACCGCUUCCGCCUGUGACGAAGCGUGAGUGACGGUAAUGGGUAAAGAAGCACCGGCUAACUACGUG
rnacentral:rRNA from 1 species